AGAGUUUGAUCAUGGCUCAGGAUGAACGCUAGCUACAGGCUUAACACAUGCAAGUCGAGGGGCAGCAUGACGGAAGCUUGCUUCCGUUGAUGGCGACCGGCGCACGGGUGAGUAACGCGUAUCCAACCUGCCCUUGUCCAUCGGAUAACCCGUCGAAAGGCGGACUAACACGAUAUACAGUUCUCAGCAGGCAUCUAACGAGAACGAAAUGUGAAGGAGAAGGAUGGGGAUGCGUCUGAUUAGCUUGUUGGCGGGGUAACGGCCCACCAAGGCGACGAUCAGUAGGGGUUCUGAGAGGAAGGUCCCCCACAUUGGAACUGAGACACGGUCCAAACUCCUACGGGAGGCAGCAGUGAGGAAUAUUGGUCAAUGGGCGAGAGCCUGAACCAGCCAAGUAGCGUGCAGGAUGACGGCCCUAUGGGUUGUAAACUGCUUUUAUACGGGGAUAAAGUGGGUCACGUGUGGCUUAUUGCAGGUACCGUAUGAAUAAGGACCGGCUAAUUCCGUGCCAGCAGCCGCGGUAAUACGGAAGGUCCGGGCGUUAUCCGGAUUUAUUGGGUUUAAAGGGAGCGUAGGCCGUCUGUUAAGCGUGUUGUGAAAUGUCGGGGCUCAACCUGGGCAUUGCAGCGCGAACUGGCAGACUUGAGUGCGCAGGAAGUAGGCGGAAUUCGUCGUGUAGCGGUGAGAUGCUUAGAUAUGACGAAGAACUCCGAUUGCGAAGGCAGCCUGCUGUAGCGUAACUGACGCUGAAGCUCGAAAGCGUGGGUAUCGAACAGGAUUAGAUACCCUGGUAGUCCACGCGGUAAACGAUGGAUGCUCGCUGUUUGCGUCUGACGUAAGCGGCC
rnacentral:rRNA from 1 species